UGGAGACACAACAAGCUUACUUGGUGGCAAAAUUUCUUAUGUUCCCACUGGUAUAACUGGCCAUGGAUACAAAACGGCAUAACCCCAGAACCAACAGAACGAAUUUUACAGAUGAGAACUCUGGUUGGAUCUUGCCGAGUCGACGUUGGC
rnacentral:lncRNA from 1 species